rnacentral:lncRNA from 1 species
GAUGUGACGGUAAAUGGGAUGGUUUCUCUGAUUUCUUUUUCUGAUCUUUCAUUGUUAGUAUAUAGAAAUGUAUCUGAUCUCUGUAUUAAUUUUGUAGCCUACAACUUUGCCAAAUUCACUGAUGAGUUCUAACAGUUUUCAGGUGUUGUCUGUAGAGUUUUCUAAGCAAUGAGGUACCACCUCACACCAGUCAGAAUAGCCAUUAUUAACAAGUCAACAAAUGCUGGAGAGGGUAUGCAGAAAAGGGGACCCUUCUUCAGUGUUGGUGGGAAUGUAAAUUGGUACAACCACUACGGAGAACAGUAUAUUUACGUUCCUCAGAAAACUCAAUAUAGAACUACCGUAUGAUCCAGCAAUCCCACUCCUGGGCAUAUAUCUGGACAAAACUUUCAUUGAAAAAGAUACAUGCACCCCUCUGUUCAUCACAGCACACUGCUACUCACAAUAGUCAAGACAUGGAAGUAACCAAAAUGUCCACUGACAGAUGAAUGGAUUAAGAAGAUGUGGUACACAUAUACAAUGGAAUACUACUCAGCCAUAAAAAAGAUAAACUAAUGCCAUUUGCAGCAACAUGGAUGGAAUUAGAGAUUCUCAGACUAAGUGAAAUAAGCCAGAAAGAAAAAGACAAACACCACAUGAUAUCACUUAUUUGUGGAAUCUAAAAUAUGGCACAGAUGGUCUUAUCUACAAAACAGAAACAGAUCACAGCCAAGGAGAGCAGACUUGCAGUUCCCACGGGGGGGAGGAGGGCAGGAGUGGGAUGGAUAGGCAGUUUUUGGAUACAAAUUGUUAUAUUUAGAAUGGAUGGGCAAUAGGAACUGUAUGUGAUUGGGUCACUUUGCUGUACAACAGAAGUUGAAGAAACGCUGUAAAUCAACUAUACUUAAAUUAAAAAAAUAAAAAUAUAAGUCUGAGUGAGAGGCAGAGACAAUGAAAACAUUUUUCUAAAUGUUAUUGAUGAAAAAUUCUUGAGGUUAGAGUAAUUAUAUCCAAAAUGCCUACAAACCAUCAGGCAAUAAAAUCAUUUAUAGGGAGUUCCUGUCAUAGUUCAGUGGUAAUGAACCCAGUUAGUAUCCAUGAGCUGCGGGUUCCGUUCCUGACCUUGCUCAGCAGGUUAAGGAUCCGGCAUUGCCGUGAGGUAUAGAGCAGGUCGCAGAUGCAGCUCGGAUCCUGUGUUGCUGUGGCUGUGGAGCAGGCCAGCAGGCGCAGCUCCUAUUCAACCUGUAGCCUAGGAAACUCCAUGUGCCACAAGUGUGGCCCUGAAAAGGAAAAAAAAAAAAAAAAGCUGGAAGAAAGUGAAAAGCUUAGUCAGAGAAAAUUCUACUCAGAAGUUCUGGACCUUCUGAGUGACAUGUUGACUUGGGUCAUCUAGUCAGGUUCUCAACAUUCUGAAAAGCAAAUUCCUGAAUCUUCUCUGCUCCCAAACCACCUCUCCAUUCCUAUUUCCUUUAUCUUAGGAAACAGCACCAUCUUCUAGCUGCUCAAGAAAAAAUACAGGAAGUCUCCUGAACUAUUCUUUCCUC